rnacentral:rRNA from 1 species
AGGACGAACGCUGGCGGCGUGCCUAACACAUGCAAGUCGAACGAGGUCCAACCGGUGGCAACACUGGUGAAGACCGAGUGGCGAACGGGUGAGUAACACGUGAGCAACCUGCCUCGAAGACUGGGAUAACCCCGGGAAACCGGAGCUAAUACCGGAUACCCCCACCGGGUCGCAUGGCCUGGUGAGGAAAUGGAUUCCGCUUUGAGAGGGGCUCGCGGCCUAUCAGCUUGAUGGUGGGGUAAUGGCCUACCAUGGCACCGACGGGUAGCUGGUCUGAGAGGACGAUCAGCCACACUGGGACUGAGACACGGCCCAGACUCCUACGGGAGGCAGCAGUGGGGAAUCUUGCGCAAUGGGCGAAAGCCUGACGCAGCAACGCCGCGUGUGGGACGAAGGCCUUCUGGGUUGUAAACCACUUUCAGCAGGGACGAUUGUGACGGUACCUGCAGAAGAACGCCCGGCCAACUACGUGCCAGCAGCCGC